GAUGAACGCUGGCGGCGUGCUUAACACAUGCAAGUCGAACGAAGCACUUUAUUUGAUUUCCUUCGGGACUGAUUAUUUUGUGACUGAGUGGCGGACGGGUGAGUAACGCGUGGGUAACCUGCCUUGUACAGGGGGAUAACAGUUGGAAACGGCUGCUAAUACCGCAUAAGCGCACAGCAUCGCGUGAUGCAGUGUGAAAAACUCCGGUGGUAUAAGAUGGACCCGCGUUGGAUUAGCUAGUUGGUGAGGUAACGGCCCACCAAGGCGACGAUCCAUAGCCGACCUGAGAGGGUGACCGGCCACAUUGGGACUGAGACACGGCCCAAACUCCUACGGGAGGCAGCAGUGGGGAAUAUUGCACAAUGGGCGAAAGCCUGAUGCAGCGACGCCGCGUGAGCGAAGAAGUAUUUCGGUAUGUAAAGCUCUAUCAGCAGGGAAGAUAAUGACGGUACCUGACGAAGGAGCACCGGCUAAAUACGUG
rnacentral:rRNA from 1 species